AAAAGAAAACAGCAGCAGUAGCAGCAGCAGCAGCAGCAGCAGCAGAAGCACCUGUGAAACUCUUGACUUAAAUUUUAAUCUCCGUAGACCAACGAUCAAGCGAACAUUUCAUAAACAGGAACACAUUUGGUUUUUUAUCUCAAACUCUAAGGACUGCCAUCAUGAAUUGGCAAAAAACACGCCAGAAAAACGCUGUGGAAUUCAGGGAAAACAGAGUAUUACAUAAAUUCGACCCCACCAAAAACAUCCACCUGUGGACUAUGUGGCGUGUAGCGAUUAACGACAAAUUGGUUGAACACUUCGGCAAUACGAAAUUCACGUAUCAAGACUACUUCGGUACGUUACCGUUUCGCAGCUACAUUCAAUUGACGAACAACUCCUUAGAGAGACUUAAAUAUUUCGACAAUCAUAUACUAAGCCCUGAACAGUUCAUCUACUACGGACUUCCUAGAGUGAGACCUUACAGAUGAUACAUGAAUAUGCACUCACACACACACAUACACACGCACACGCACCCCUACACUCUCUCUCUCUCUCUCUCUCUCUUUCCCUCUCUCUAACUAAUUCCAGCCGGUAGGUUGUUGCAAUGAGGGAGUACCAUCAUGUAUGUAUAUGUUUUUGAACGGUUUAUCCUGGAGAAAGGGACUCUAGCUAUGGUUUGUCUUUGUCGAUCAGUACAUAUACAAACAACAUUCAAAGAAUUCUUCAUACAUGCUUGAAACAGCAACAAAGUCUUCUUCAAAUUAUACCCAACUGACUUUAAAAAUAUAAGGAAGCGCUGAAUAAUGUGACCUACGAACUGAGA